rnacentral:rRNA from 1 species
AGUGAACGCUGGCGGCAGGCCUAACACAUGCAAGUCGAACGGCAGCACGGCAGUAGCAAUACUGUGGGUGGCGAGUGGCGGACGGGUGAGGAAUACAUCGGGAUCUACCCUGUUGUGGGGGAUAACGUAGGGAAACUUACGCUAAUACCGCAUAAGAACUGAGGUUGAAAGCGGCGGACCGCAAGGCGUCGCGCGAUUGGAUGAACCGAUGUCCGAUUAGCUAGUUGGCGGGGUAAAGGCCCACCAAGGCGACGAUCGGUAGCUGGUCUGAGAGGACGACCAGCCACACUGGAACUGAGACACGGUCCAGACUCCUACGGGAGGCAGCAGUGGGGAAUAUUGGACAAUGGGCGCAAGCCUGAUCCAGCCAUGCCGCGUGGGUGAAGAAGGGCCUUCGGGUUGGUUAAAGACGUCUUUCGGUCCGGGAACGGAAAUACGCGAUGGUUAAGUAACCUCGUGUGGAUGACGGUACCGGAA